rnacentral:rRNA from 1 species
CAGUCGCCACGGUAAUACGGAGGGUGCAAGCGUUAAUCGGAAUUACUGGGCGUAAAGCGUGCGUAGGUGGUGGUUUAAGUCCGUUGUGAAAGCCCUGGGCUCAACCUGGGAAUUGCAGUGGAUACUGGGUCACUAGAGUGUGGUAGAGGAUAGUGGAAUUUCCGGUGUAGCAGUGAAAUGCGUAGAGAUCGGAAGGAACAUCUGUGGCGAAGGCGACUAUCUGGGCCAACACUGACACUGAGGCACGAAAGCGUGGGGAGCAAACAGGAUUAGAUACCCGCGUAGUCCCUGUCUCUUAUAC